AUUGAACGCUGGCGGCAGGCCUAACACAUGCAAGUCGAGCGGAUGAAGGGAGCUUGCUCCUGGAUUCAGCGGCGGACGGGUGAGUAAUGCCUAGGAAUCUGCCUGGUAGUGGGGGAUAACGUCCGGAAACGGGCGCUAAUACCGCAUACGUCCUGAGGGAGAAAGUGGGGGAUCUUCGGACCUCACGCUAUCAGAUGAGCCUAGGUCGGAUUAGCUAGUUGGUGGGGUAAAGGCCUACCAAGGCGACGAUCCGUAACUGGUCUGAGAGGAUGAUCAGUCACACUGGAACUGAGACACGGUCCAGACUCCUGCGGGAGGCAGCAGUGGGGAAUAUUGGACAAUGGGCGAAAGCCUGAUCCAGCCAUGCCGCGUGUGUGAAGAAGGUCUUCGGAUUGUAAAGCACGUUAAGUUGGGAGGAAGGGCAGUAAGUUAAUACCUUGCUGUUUUGACGUUACCAACAGAAUAAGCACCGGCUAACUUCGUG
rnacentral:rRNA from 1 species